rnacentral:rRNA from 1 species
UACGGAGGAUGCGAGCGUUAUCCGGAUUUAUUGGGUUUAAAGGGUGCGUAGGCGGGCUGUUAAGUCAGCGGUAAAAGCCCGGGGCUCAACCCCGGCGAGCCGUUGAAACUGGCUGUCUUGAGAUAUCGAGAGGUAUGCGGAAUGCGCAGUGUAGCGGUGAAAUGCUUAGAUGUUGCGCAGAACUCCGAUUGCGAAGGCAGCAUACCGGCGGCGAUCUGACGCUGAGGCACGAAAGCGUGGGUAUCGAACAGG